rnacentral:rRNA from 1 species
CCUACGGGUGGCUGCAGUGAGGAAUAUUGGUCAAUGGACGAGAGUCUGAACCAGCCAAGUAGCGUGAAGGAUGACUGCCCUAUGGGUUGUAAACUUCUUUUAUAUGGGAAUAAAAUGUUCCACGUGUGGGAUUUUGUAUGUACCAUAUGAAUAAGGAUCGGCUAACUCCGUGCCAGCAGCCGCGGUACUACGGAGGAUCCGAGCGUUAUCCGGAUUUAUUGGGUUUAACGGGAGCCUAGGUGGAUUGUUAAGUCAGUUUUGAAAGUUUGCGGCGCAACCGUAAAAUUGCAUGUGAAACUGGCAGUUUUGAGUACAGUAGGGGUGGACGGAAUUCGUGGGGUAGCGGGGAAAUGGUUAG